UGCGUAGGCGGAAUAAUAAGUCAGUGGUGAAAGUUUGUGGCUCAACCAUAAAAUUGCCUUUGAAACUGUUAUUCUUGAGUACAUUUGAGGUAGGCGGAAUGUGAUGUGUAGCGGUGAAAUGCUUAGAUAUAUCACAGAACACCGAUUGCGAAGGCAGCUUACUAAACUGUAACUGACGCUGAUGCACGAAAGCGUGGGGAUCGAACAGGAUUAGAUACCCUGGUAGUCC
rnacentral:rRNA from 1 species